rnacentral:lncRNA from 1 species
UUGACAUUUGGUCUACCUUUUUGAUCAAUCUUCUUAAUGAACUUGUUGAACUGUCUUCCAAGCAUGGCUAUAGCUUUUGAUAUACUUUCAUCACCUCCAAUAUUUCCUUCUUCUGAAUCCUCUUCAGUAUUUGAUACAAAAUCUAUGUUUUUGUUUUUCUUUUCAACAUUCUCACACAAGCCCAUUUCAAAAGUUUGGAGAGAACCAAUAAGC